AUUGAACGCUGGCGGCAGGCCUAACACAUGCAAGUCGAACGAGUGCCGGACGGGUGAGUAAUGUAUGGGAAACUGCCUGAUGGAGGGGGAGAACUACUGGAAACGGUAGCUAAUACCGCAUACCAUCAGAUGUGCCCAGAUGGGAUUAGCUAGUUGGUGGGGGAACGGCUCCACAAGGCGACGAUCCCUAGCUGGUCUUCGAGGAUGAACAGCCAGACUGGACCUGAGCCACGGUCCAGACUCCUACGGUAGGCCGCAGUGGGGAAUAUUGCCCAAUGGGCGCAAGCCUGAUGCAGCCAUGCCGCGUGUAUGAAGAAGGCCUUCGGGUUGUAACGUACUUUCAGCGUGGAGGCGUUACCCGCAGAAGAAGCACCGGCUAACUCCGUGCCAGCAGCCGCGGUAAUUC
rnacentral:rRNA from 1 species